AUUGAACGCUGGCGGCAUGCCUAACACAUGCAAGUCGAACGCGUGGCAGACGGGUGAGUCAUGUCUGGGAAACUGCCAGAUGGCGGGGGUUAACUCCGGGAACCGGUACCUAAUACCGCAUACCAUCAGAUGUGCCCAGAUGGGAUUAGCUUGUUGGUGGGGUAACGGCUCACCAAGGCCACGAUCCCUAGCUGGUCUGAGAGGAUGACCAGCCACACUGGAACUGAGACACGGUCCAGACUCCUACGGGAGGCAGCAGUGGGGAAUAUUGCACAAUGGGCGCAAGCCUGAUGCAGCCAUGCCGCGUGUAUGAAGAAGGCCUUCGGGUUGUAAAGUACUUUCAGCGGGGAGGCGUUACCCACAGAAGAAGCACCGGCUAACUCCGUGCCAGCAGCCGCGGUAAUUC
rnacentral:rRNA from 1 species